GACGUCUACGAGUUUGAUCCUGGCUCAGAACGAACGCUGGCGGCAGGCCUAAUACAUGCAAGUCGAACGAUCCUUCGGGAUAGUGGCGCACGGGUGAGUAACACGUGGGAACAUACCCUUGGGUGCGGAACAACGUCGGGAAACUGACGCUAAUACCGCAUAAUGACUCCGGUCCAAAGAUUUAUCGCCCAAGGAUUGGCCCGCGCUAGAUUAGGUUGUUGGUGAGGUAACGGCUCACCAAGCCUACGAUCUAUAGCUGGUCUGAGAGGAUGAUCAGCCACACUGGGACUGAGACACGGCCCAGACUCCUACGGGAGGCAGCAGUAAGGAAUAUUGGACAAUGGGGGCGAACCCUCGAUCCAGCCAUGCCGCGUGAGUGAAGAAGGCCUUAGGGUUGGUAAAGCUCUUUCUAGGUGCGAAGAUAAUGACUGUAACACCAGAAGAAGCCCCGGCCUAAAUUACGUG
rnacentral:rRNA from 1 species